rnacentral:rRNA from 1 species
GAUGAACGCUGGCGGCGUGCCUAAUACAUGCAAGUCGAGCGAACAGACGAGGAGCUUGCUCCUCUGACGUUAGCGGCGGACGGGUGAGUAACACGUGGAUAACCUACCUAUAAGACUGGGAUAACUUCGGGAAACCGGAGCUAAUACCGGAUAAUAUAUUCAACCGCAUGGUUCAAUAGUGAAAGACGGUUUUGCUGUCACUUAUAGAUGGAUCCGCGCCGCAUUAGCUAGUUGGUAAGGUAACGGCUUACCAAGGCAACGAUGCGUAGCCGACCUGAGAGGGGGAUCGGCCACACUGGAACUGAGACACGGUCCAGACUCCUACGGGAGGCAGCAGUAGGGAAUCUUCCGCAAUGGGCGAAAGCCUGACGGAGCAACGCCGCGUGAGUGAUGAAGGUCUUCGGAUCGUAAAACUCUGUUAUUAGGGAAGAACAAAUGUGUAAGUAACUAUGCACGUCUUGACGGUACCUAAUCAGAAAGCCACGGCUAACUACGUG